rnacentral:rRNA from 1 species
GACGAACGCUGGCGGCGUGCUUAACACAUGCAAGUCGAACGGUAAGGCCCUUCGGGGUACACGAGUGGCGAACGGGUGAGUAACACGUGGGUGAUCUGCCCUGCACUUCGGGAUAAGCCUGGGAGACUGGGUCUAAUACCGGAUAGGACCACUGCCUGCAUGGGUGGUGGUGGAAAGCUUUUGCGGUGUGGGAUGGGCCCGCGGCCUAUCAGCUUGAUGGUGGGGUGAUGGCCGACCAAGGCGACGACGGGUAGCCGGCCUGAGAGGGUGACCGGCCACACUGGGACUGGGAUACGGCCCAGACUCCUACGGGAGGCAGCAGUGGGGAAUAUUGCACAAUGGGCGCAAGCCUGAUGCAGCGACGCCGCGUGAGGGAUGACGGCCUUCGGGUUGUAAACCUCUUUCAGCACCGACGAAGCGCAAGUGACGGUAGGUGCAGAAGAAGGACCGGCCAACUACGUGCCAGCCGCCCGCCGUAA